CACCGGCAGCUCAAGUGGUGGCCAUUUUUAUUGGGCCUAAAGCGUUCGUAGCCGGCCUGAUAAGUCUCUGGUGAAAUCCCACGGCUUAACCGUGGGAAUUGCUGGAGAUACUAUCAGGCUUGAGGUCGGGAGAGGUUAGAGGUACUCCCAGGGUAGGGGUGAAAUCCUAUAAUCCUGGGAGGACCACCUGUGGCGAAGGCGUCUAACUGGAACGAACCUGACGGUGAGUAACGAAAGCCAGGGGCGCGAACCGG
rnacentral:rRNA from 1 species